rnacentral:rRNA from 1 species
CCUACGGGAGGCAGCAGUGGGGAAUUUUGCGCAAUGCUCGUAAGAGUGACGCAGCGACGCCGCGUGAAUGACGAAGGCCUUCGGGUCGUAAAGUUCUUUCGACAGGGAAGAAAAUGACGAUAAGUAACUGUGUAUGUAUUGACGGUACCUGUCUAAGCAGCCCCGCUAACUCCGUGACAGCAGCCGCGGUAAUACGGAGGGGGCGAGCGUUGUUCGGAGUUACUGGGCGUAAAGAGCACGUAGGCGGUGUUGUAAGUCAUUAGUCAAAGCCUAGAGCUCAACCUUAGUAAGGCUAGUGAUACUAUAAUACUAGAGUAUCAGAGAGGAAUGCAGAAUUCCUGGUGUAGCGGUGAAAUGCGUAGAUAUCAGGAGGAAUACCGUUAGCGAAGGCGGCAAUCUGGCUGGAAACUGACGCUGAGGUGCGAAAGCGUGGGUAGCAAACAGGAUUAGAUACCCCAGUAGUC